rnacentral:rRNA from 1 species
GACGAACGCUGGCGGCGUGCUUAACACAUGCAAGUCGAACGGUAAGGCCCUUCGGGGUACACGAGUGGCGAACGGGUGAGUAACACGUGGGUGAUCUGCCCUGCACUUCGGGAUAAGCCUGGGAAACUGGGUCUAAUACCGGAUAGGACCCUGGGAUGCAUGUCCUGGGGUGGAAAGCGUUUGCGGUGUGGGAUGGGCCCGCGGCCUAUCAGCUUGUUGGUGGGGUGAUGGCCUACCAAGGCGACGACGGGUAGCCGGCCUGAGAGGGUGACCGGCCACACUGGGACUGGGAUACGGCCCAGACUCCUACGGGAGGCAGCAGUGGGGAAUAUUGCACAAUGGGCGCAAGCCUGAGGCAGCGACGCCGCGUGAGGGAUGACGGCCUUCGGGUUGUAAACCUCUUUCAGCACCGACGAAGCGCAAGUGACGGUAGGUGCAGAAGAAGGACCGGCCAACUACGUGCCAGCAGCCGCAGUAA